AAGCCUGAUCCAGCCAUGCCGCGUGUGUGAAGAAGGUCUUCGGAUUGUAAAGCACUUUAAGUUGGGAGGAAGGGCAGUAAGUUAAUACCUUGCUGUUUUGACGUUACCAACACAAUAAGCACCGGCUAACUUCGUGCCAGCAGCCGCGGUAAUACA
rnacentral:rRNA from 1 species